rnacentral:rRNA from 1 species
UGGGGAAUCUUGCGCAAUGGGCGAAAGCCUGACGCAGCGACGCCGCGUGCGGGAAGAAGGCCUUCGGGUUGUAAACCGCUUUCAGGAGGGACGAAGCCACUCGGGUUAAUAGCCCAGAGGGUGACGGUACCUCCAGAAGAAGCCCCGGCUAACUACGUGCCAGCAGCCGCGGUAAUACGUAGGGGGCAAGCGUUGUCCGGAUUUAUUGGGCGUAAAGAGCGUGUAGGCGGCCAAGCAGGUCCGCUGUGAAAACUCGAGGCUUAACCUCGAGACGUCGGUGGAAACCGUUUGGCUAGAGUCCGGAAGAGGAGAGUGGAAUUCCCGGUGUAGCGGUGAAAUGCGCAGAUAUCGGGAAGAACACCCGUGGCGAAGGCGGCUCUCUGGGACGGUACUGACGCUGAGACGCGAAAGCGUGGGGAGCGGAACAGGAUUAGAUACCCUGGUAGUCCACGCCGUAAACGAUGGGUGCUAGGUGUGGGCGGUGUCGACUCCGUCCGUGCCGAAGCUAACGCAUUAA